rnacentral:tRNA from 15 species
UUGGCGGUGCGUCGCUCAGCCUUCAAACCCAGAGCA